ACGGAGGAUGCGAGCGUUAUCCGGAUUUAUUGGGUUUAAAGGGUGCGUAGGCGGAUUAAUAAGUCAGUGGUGAAAACCUGCAGCUUAACUGUAGGCUUGCCAUUGAUACUGUUAGUCUUGAGUACGGUCAAGGUAGGCGGAAUGUGUAAUUUAGCGGUGAAAUGCUUAGAUAUUACACAGAACACCGAUUGCGAAGGCAGCUUACUGGGCCGUAACUGACGCUGCUGCACUAAAGCGUGGGGAGCGAACAG
rnacentral:rRNA from 1 species